rnacentral:rRNA from 1 species
CGCCUUGCCAGCCGCUCAGAACUUAAGGAAUUGACGGGGCCGCACAAGCGGUGGAGCAUGUGGUUUAGUUCGAUGAUACGCGAGGAACCUUACCUGGGCUCAAAUGUAUGUUGACGUAUUCUGAAAGGGAUACUUCUUCGGACAAUAUACAAGGUGCUGCAUGGUUGUCGUCAGCUCGUGCCGUGAGGUGUCGGGUUAAGUCCCAUAACGAGCGCAACCCCUAUCAUUAGUUGCCAUCAGGUCAAGCUGGGGACUCUAAUGAAACUGCCUACGCAAGUAGUGAGGAAGGUGGGGAUGACGUCAAAUCAGCACGGCCCUUACGUCCAGGGCUACACACGUGCUACAAUGGCCGGUACAAAGGGCAGCUACCUGGUGACAGGAUGCUAAUCUCAAAAGCCGGUCUCAGUUCGGAUCGGAGUCUGCAACCCGACUCCGUGAAGUUGGAAUCGCUAGUAAUCGUGGAUCCAGCAUGCCAACGGUGAAUACGUUCCCGGGCCUU